GGGGAUUUAGCUCACUGGUAGAGUGCUUGCCUAGCAAGCACAAGGCCCUGGGUUCGGUCCCCAGCUCCG
rnacentral:tRNA from 1 species